AGAAGUCCAGUGGGGCUCUCAG
rnacentral:misc_RNA from 1 species